rnacentral:rRNA from 1 species
ACUCCUACGGGAGGCAGCAGUGGGAAUAUUGCACAAUGGGCGCAAGCCUGAUGCAGCCAUGCCGCGUGUGUGAAGAAGGCCUUCGGGUUGUAAAGCACUUUCAGUUGUGAGGAAAGGUUAGUCGCUAAUAUCGGCUAGCUGUGACGUUAGCAACAGAAGAAGCACCGGCUAACUCCGUGCCAGCAGCCGCGGUAAUACGGAGGGUGCGAGCGUUAAUCGGAAUUACUGGGCGUAAAGCGCGCGUAGGCGGACUGGAAAGUUGGGGUGAAAUCCCAGGGCUCAACCCUGGAACUGCCUCCAAAACUAUCAGUCUAGAGUUCGAGAGAGGUGAGUGGAAUUCCGAGUGUAGAGGUGAAAUUCGUAGAUAUUCGGAGGAACACCAGUGGCGAAGGCGGCUCACUGGCUCGAUACUGACGCUGAGGUGCGAAAGUGUGGGAGCAAACAGGAUUAGAUACCCUGGUAGGCUCUG